rnacentral:rRNA from 1 species
GACGAACGCUGGCGGCGUGCUUAACACAUGCAAGUCGAACGGAAAGGCCUUGUUCCUGUGGCGGGCUCGAGUGUCGCACGUGUGAGCAACCCGUUGGUAACCUGCCCCUGACUUUAGGCUAACUUUAGGAAACCGGGGCCUAUAGCGGAUAGGAGCUCAUCCUGCAAGGUGGGGGUUGGCAAGUUUUGGCGGGUGGGGAUGGACAGGCGGUUUACGAGUCGGUUGUUGGGGUAGUGACCUACCAGGGCUUUGACGGGUAGCAGGCGUGAGGGGGUGACCGGCCACAACGGGACUGAGGUGACGCGCAGCAUACUCCGGCAGGCAGCAGUGGGGAGUAUUGCACAAUGAGCGGAAGCCGGAUGAAGCAACGCCGCGGGGGGGAUGAAAGCCGUCGGGUUGUAAACCGCUUUCGCCUGUGGCGAAGCGUGAGUGACGGUAAUGGGUAAAGAAGCACCGGCUAACUACGUG